rnacentral:sRNA from 1 species
AUGCUCUGCACUCAGCUCUGGGGGGCACAAAGAAGAAAAAGAAGACUAUUGUGACUGAUGUUUUCCAGGGGUCCAUGAGGAUCUUCACUAAAAAGCUUCCCCAUCCUGAUCUGCCAGCAGAAGAAAAAGAGCAGUUGCUCCAUAAUGACGAGUACCAGGAGACGAUGGUGGAGUCCACUUUUAUGUACCUGACGCUGGACCUUCCUACUGCCCCCCUCUACAAGGACGAGAAGGAGCAGCUCAUCAUUCCCCAAGUGCCACUCUUCAACAUCCUGGCCAAGUUCAAUGGCAUCACUGAGAAGGAAUAUAAGACUUACAAGGAGAACUUUCUGAAGCGCUUCCAGCUUACCAAGCUGCCUCCAUAUCUAAUCUUUUGUAUCAAGAGAUUCACUAAGAACAACUUCUUUGUUGAGAAGAAUCCAACUAUUGUCAAUUUCCCUAUUACAAAUGUGGAUCUGAGAGAAUACUUGUCUGAAGAAGUACAAGCAGUACACAAGAAUACCACCUAUGACCUCAUUGCCAACAUCGUGCAUGACGGCAAGCCCUCCGAGGGCUCCUACCGGAUCCACGUGCUUCAUCAUAUUUGGAAGAGGCGAGAUAAUGAUGAAACCAACCAGCAGGGGGCUUGAAGGAGGUGUCUAGGGCUUUGCUCCCAAGGGCUGUGGCUGAUGAUGGUAAAUAAGAACACAGAAGCUGUAGCUGAACACAGGCUGGCUGGUGGGCUCCCUAGGCCCGCCCAGCUUGUAUGGGUUCUGGCUACACCAGAGCACCAGGAGCCCACUUGCCUGGGAUGGCCCCACACUGUCACUCAGUUGUUCUUUGAUCAUUUUUUUCUAGAUUGAUGCUCUUUCUCCCAUGCAUCGAGCUUCCAUCUAGCUUCAGCAGGGCAGAACACUUCUCCAGAUGUGUGUAACUUAUGUCUGAGUAUCUGGGAGUAGUUGAAGAACAGAUAAUUUCUUCCAAACAUCAAGCCUUGGGAUUCUUGGAGCAAGCAGAAAGCCAGUAACCUCGCUCUGUUAGAGGUGG